GAGCACUUGAUACUAACCGAGCUAUCUGUAUCCCAGGUCUCCUCCAGAGGUCUGAGGUAUACUUUGUGAUUGCUGGGUCUGAAAAGUGCAACAUUAAAACAAGCCCUGCAGUGUUUAAGCUCAGUGUGUAAAGGAUGACACUGGGUUAUAGCUCAGAGGCACAGAA
rnacentral:snoRNA from 7 species